rnacentral:rRNA from 1 species
UACGGAGGGGGCAAGCGUUAACCGGAAUUAUUGGGCGUAAAGCGUCCGUAGGCGGUUGGUCAAGUCUGGUGUCAAAGGGCGGGGCUCAACCUGAUAAAGGCAUUGGAAACUGGCGGGCUAGAGUGUGGUAGGGGGAGGGGGAAUUCCCAGUGUAGCGGUGAAAUGCGUAGAGAUUGGGAAGAACAUCGGUGGCGAAAGCGCCCUGCUGGGCCUGCACUGACGCUGAGGGGCGAAAGCUAGGGGAGCAAAAGGG